UUAAGUUCAACUAAUUACAUUAAUCUUGUAUCAAUUAACAGUAAGCAUGAAAUAAUCAAAUGAAAAGAGCUUAGGUCAAAAUGUGAGAACCGUAUUUCCCUUUCUCCCUCUCAUGUGCGACGGCGGCCGUCUCUCUCCAUCUCCGGCACAACGCUCAAAACGCCGCCACCCUCACUUUCUCCGAUCGCGUUCUCAUCCUUCACGUCAAUCUCUUUUUCCGCUCACUCUCUCCAUUCUCUUUCCGCUCAUCUCUCGCGCUCUCAAAUCAGAGAAAAGCGUCUGGUGAUUCUUUGACAAAACGGCGAGAAAUCCAGCGGUAAUCUCUGAAAUUCAGAUCCAAGAUGAUGAAUGAAGGUUACAGGUGAUGCGAAGUGGUGGUCAUGAUGAACGAAGAGAAGUCGAGAGAGAAAGUUUGAGGAGAGCGUUGUUGAAGAUUAUUGAUUGAGUUGAUGAUUGAAGAGUGAUGAAGAUUGUAGGAGAACUCUCAUAUUCAAGGUUGAUGAAGAUGAUUACGAUUGAAGAUGAACAAAUUAGAUUGUGAUCGAGAGAGAGGACUGAAGAUUGGACCAUUCGGUUAUAGAGAUUCAAUGAAUGAAGGUGAAGAUUGAAUGAAUGAAUGGAGAAGUGAAGAGAAGAGCCAAGAGAUUCGGUUCCGGUUUUCAAUUACAGCUUUCAAGAUUUUUUUACCGAUCCCUUCCGUUUCUGUCACCAUUUUUUUCUGUUAUCCAUUUUUCUUUGUUAUUUUUUGUUAGAAGUUUCUGAAUCCCUUGCUGAGCUUUUGUGUUGUGUUUGAUUCGGUUCUCAUGAAGCUUCUUGGACCGGUUUUGGAUUGGAACUGGUUUUUCUUAUGUGCUGCCCCUUUGUAUGCAGAUCGGUGUCUUUGUUUAUGGGCAAGGUACAUCUCCAUUUUGAAGUGGCUUGGUUGCAAGUUGAUGGGCAUGGACAUGAAAUUUGAAGAUGAAGUUUAGGCAUAGGCUUAGGAUAUGAUUUUUUGUGUAACUUUUUCUUGUAAUGGGCUGGACUCUUGUAAUGAAUGGAUAUUUGGACUAUUUUGUAAUGAAACUUUGGUAAAAUUAUGUCUUUGAAAUUUAAAUGAAUGAUAUAUGUCUUUUAUGCUUGUAACUUGAAUUCUAAGAAAUCGCUCAUAUGCGCCGAAUCUUGCCAUCAUGAACAAACGUAUGCACUUGAACAAUUUGAACUCAUAGCAUCAAGUAAUUACCAAUAAAUCCACAUCUUCACCUUAAUGAAAAUAUGUCUUCAAUUUACCAUAAGCAACUUGCACCUCAAACAACCAAACAAUUUGAAAGAGUGAGGAUGCAUCGAUUGUAAUGAAUU